UACGGAGGGUGCCAGCGUUGUUCGGAAUCAUUGGGCGUAAAGGGCGCGUAGGCUGCCGAUCAAGUCGGAUGUGAAAUACCCCGGCUCAACUGGGGAACUGCAUCCGAAACUGCUUGGCUUGAGUCCUGGAGAGGGUAGUGGAAUUCCCAGUGUAGCGGUGAAAUGCGUAGAUACUGGGAGGAACACCGGUGGCGAAGGCGGCUACCUGGACAGAUACUGACGCUGAGGCGCGAAAGCGUGGGGAGCAAACAGG
rnacentral:rRNA from 1 species